ACCUCGGUGAUGUAGUGGUAGCAUGCUCCCCAGUAUGGAUGAAACGCGGGAUCAAAUCCCGCCUGAGGUC